rnacentral:rRNA from 1 species
UGGGGAAUAUUGGGUAAUGGGCGAAAGCCUGACCCAGCAACGCCGCGUGAGGGAAGAAGGUUUUCGGAUUGUAAACCUCUGUCCUUGGGGACGAAGAAAGUGACGGUACCCAAGGAGGAAGCCCCGGCUACCUACGUGCCAGCAGCCGCGGUAAUACGUAGGGGGCCAGCGUCGUUCGGAAUUACUGGUCGUAAAGCGUGCGUAGGCGGUUCUUUAAGACAGAUAUGAAUGCCUCGAGCUUAACUCGGGUGUUGCAGUUGAAGAUGG